rnacentral:rRNA from 1 species
UACAGAGGGUGCGAGCGUUGUCCGGAAUUAUUGGGCGUAAAGCGCGCGCAGGCGGUCCUUUAAGUCUGAUGUGAAAGCCCACGGCUCAACCGUGGAGGGUCAUUGGAAACUGGGGGACUUGAGUACAGAAGAGGAAAGCGGAAUUCCAAGUGUAGCGGUGAAAUGCGUAGAGAUUUGGAGGAACACCAGUGGCGAAGGCGGCUUUCUGGUCUGUAACUGACGCUGAGGCGCGAAAGCGUGGGGAGCAAACAGG